UACGGAGGGUGCGAGCGUUAAUCGGAAUUACUGGGCGUAAAGGGUUCGUAGGUGGUUAAAUAAGUUAUCUGUGAAAUCCCCGGGCUCAACCUGGGCAGGUCAGAUAAUACUGUUUAACUCGAGUAUGGGAGAGGGUAGUGGAAUUUCCGGUGUAGCGGUGAAAUGCGUAGAGAUCGGAAGGAACACCAGUGGCGAAGGCGGCUACCUGGCCUAAUACUGACACUGAGGAACGAAAGCGUGGGGAGCAAACAGG
rnacentral:rRNA from 1 species